rnacentral:sRNA from 1 species
GGCCCCAAAUAUGUAGUUCGAAUACCAUAGUUUGUUUUUCUCCUUUUAUUUCCUUCCUUUGACAAGCUCCCUUGUUCUAGUCCUUUCCUCCCUCCUGUUCCUUCAGUCCCACGCGCCAGACACCCUCAUAUAUGGCUAGGUUUGCGUUGAGUUUGUUGCGUACAGGUUAUAUUUCCGCGAACCGAUUUGAUUUUGUUAUCCAACAAAUAUGAACGUAUAUUCUCAGGUAUGCACCUGGAAAGGAGCUGGAGAAGCUCUGAAAUCGUUGGGAGUGUUUCUGACACUGUUCACCAGCCUGAGAGUGAACGGCACGGCUCUAUUGAUAGAGGACGGAGGUUGCUAAUAAUACAAAUGAGGUAGUCGAUUUCCUCCACCGCAUAAGACGUAUUGAUCACACCGGGAGGUGCCCGUUCAUAUGGUCCACG